CCUACGGGCGGCAGCAGUGGGGAAUAUUGGACAAUGGGGGCAACCCUGAUCCAGCCAUGCCGCGUGUGUGAAGAAGGCCCUCGGGUUGUAAAGCACUUUCAGUGAGGAAGAACGCCUGGUGGUUAAUACCCAUCAGGAAAGACAUCACUCACAGAAGAAGCACCGGCUAACUCCGUGCCAGCAGCCGCGGUAAUACGGAGGGUGCGAGCGUUAAUCGGAAUUACUGGGCGUAAAGCGCGCGUAGGUGGCUUGAUAAGCCGGUUGUGAAAGCCCCGGGCUCAACCUGGGAACGGCAUCCGGAACUGUCAAGCUAGAGUGCAGGAGAGGAAGGUAGAAUUCCCGGUGUAGCGGUGAAAUGCGUAGAGAGCGGGAGGAAUACCAGUGGCGAAGGCGGCCUUCUGGACUGACACUAACACUGAGGUGCGAAAGCGUGGGUAGCAAACAGGAUUAGAUACCCGAGUAGUC
rnacentral:rRNA from 1 species